AAUACCUCUACUCAGCCAAGUCACUCUCUAUAUAUCCAUAUAUAUAUAUAUAUAUAUAUAUGCAUAUAUAUGCAUAUUCAUACAAAUAUUUACUUCUCUUUUAGGUCUUUUUUUCUUCACUUGGCCCAACAGAUUGUGAUGGUACUAUCUGCCUGGUGGAGCCCCUUCACACCACAACACACCUUGGAACUGAUGAAGAGGAUGAAGCUGUGUCUGCUGCCUUUACAGAGGGGGAUCCAGAAACACAUCUAGAGAGCAUGGCUGGACAGCAGCAGGAUGGUUCCUCAACUUCCACUGCAAAGACUGACACAGUGAGAUGGAUGUUCAGUAAACACCAGAGGUUCAGUCCGUGGAAUUUAUGUGCAACUGUAUAAUUUAAUCUCCUUUAUGUAUUCCCACUUACCAGUAAAACAAAUACACAAAAUCCACUUGCUGAAGAAAAAUACAAAAAACAGAUAAAGAAAUGCAGUACUUGCACUGCCAGAUUAAGAAGGCAGAUCUAGAAAUUGAAAUACUGGAGCACAAGUCAGAGGUGGGUGCAGGUCACAGGUGAAUUAUGUUAACUACUGGAACAUUAACUAAACUAGCUCUUUUAUUUGUAGGAAAUAAAGAAGACCAAAUGAAAUGUAUGUCAUGUGUUUAUUUGACU